AAGUCGUAACAAGGUUUCCGUAGGUGAACCUGCGGAAGGAUCAUUACCAAAUCCAAAAAUUUUACCCAAUACCCCUGUGAACUUGUUGAUUGUCUUAAAAAUGUCUUUGGGGGAAAGUUUUUUGAAAUAAAUAUGAAAGAGAGAAUUUUUUCUUAAUUUUGUUUUGUUUUUUAGACUUCCCCCAAAAACAUAUAUAUAUAUAAACUACUUUUAUAAAAUUUUUAUUGGAAUUAUAUUAUAAUUUAAUAAAAAAUCACAACUUUUAACGGUGGAUCUCUUGGCUCGU
rnacentral:misc_RNA from 1 species